rnacentral:rRNA from 1 species
UCGGUGAUGGAUGGGGAGGCGUCUGAUUAGCUUGUUGGCGGGGUAACGGCCCACCAAGGCAACGAUCAGUAGGGGUUCUGAGAGGAAGGUCCCCCACAUUGGAACUGAGACACGGUCCAAACUCCUACGGGAGGCAGCAGUGAGGAAUAUUGGUCAAUGGGCGAGAGCCUGAACCAGCCAAGUAGCGUGCAGGAUGACGGCCCUAUGGGUUGUAAACUGCUUUUAUAAGGGAAUAAAGUGAGCCUCGUGAGGCUUUUUGCAUGUACCUUAUGAAUAAGGACCGGCUAAUUCCGUGCCAGCAGCCGCGGUAAUACGGAAGGUCCGGGCGUUAUCCGGAUUUAUUGGGUUUAAAGGGAGCGUAGGCCGGAGAUUAAGCGUGUUGUGAAAUGUAGAUGCUCAACAUCUGCACUGCAGCGCGAACUGGUUUCCUUGAGUACGCACAAAGUGGGCGGAAUUCGUGGUGUAGCGGUGAAAUGCUUAGAUAUCACGAAGAACUCCGAUUGCGAAGGCAGCUCACUGGAGCGCAACUGACGCUGAAGCUCGAAAGUGCGGGUAUCGAACAGGAUUAGAUACCCUGGUAGUCCGCACGGUAAACGAUGGAUGCCCGCUGUUGGUCUGAAUAGGUCAGCGGCCAAGCGAAAGCAUUAAGCAUCCCACCUGGGGAGUAC